rnacentral:rRNA from 1 species
CCUACGGGAGGCAGCAGUGGGGAAUUUUGGACAAUGGGCGCAAGCCUGAUCCAGCCAUGCCGCGUGCGGGAAGAAGGCCUUCGGGUUGUAAACCGCUUUUGUCAGGGAAGAAAUCCUUUGGGUUAAUACCUCGGAGGGAUGACGGUACCUGAAGAAUAAGCACCGGCUAACUACGUGCCAGCAGCCGCGGUAAUACGUAGGGUGCGAGCGUUAAUCGGAAUUACUGGGCGUAAAGCGUGCGCAGGCGGUUAUGCAAGACAGAUGUGAAAUCCCCGGGCUCAACCUGGGAACUGCAUUUGUGACUGCAUAGCUAGAGUACGGUAGAGGGGGAUGGAAUUCCGCGUGUAGCAGUGAAAUGCGUAGAUAUGCGGAGGAACACCGAUGGCGAAGGCAAUCCCCUGGACCUGUACUGACGCUCAUGCACGAAAGCGUGGGGAGCAAACAGGAUUAGAUGCCCUGGUAGUCCACGCCCUAAACGAUGUCAACUGGUUGUUGGACGGCUUGCUGUUCAGUAACGAAGCUAACGCGUGAAGUUGACCGCCUGGGGAAGUCGGCCGCAAGGUUGAAACUUCAAAANAGAGUUAGAGGCGNGAGAGNGCGACGGACGACGACGAGGGAGGAGG